rnacentral:rRNA from 1 species
UGAGGAAUAUUGGUCAAUGGGCGAGAGCCUGAACCAGCCAAGUCGCGUGAAGGAAGACAGUCCUAAGGAUUGUAAACUUCUUUUAUACGGGAAUAACGGGCGAUACGAGUAUUGCAUUGAAUGUACCGUAAGAAUAAGCAUCGGCUAACUCCGUGCCAGCAGCCGCGGUAAUACGGAGGAUGCGAGCGUUAUCCGGAUUUAUUGGGUUUAAAGGGUGCGUAGGUUGUUCGGUAAGUCAGCGGUGAAACCUGAGCGCUCAACGUUCAGCCUGCCGUUGAAACUGCCGGGCUUGAGUUCAGUGGCGGCAGGCGGAAUUCGUGGUGUAGCGGUGAAAUGCAUAGAUAUCACGAGGAACACCGAUUGCGAAGGCAGCUUGCCAUACUGCGACUGACACUGAAGCACGAAGGCGUGGGUAUCAAACAGG